AACAAGUACCUUCCAGGGGAGGAACCCUGGGGACUGGCGAAUUUGAGACCCCUCAAGCCAUGAUGUGGUCCCCAGGCAGGAGAGGCUGCUCAUGGAAAAUGUACCCAAGCUCCAUCUUCCUUUGGGACAAGAGUGGACUGGCCAGGCACCCUUUCAUCAGGGGAACCUGAUGAUGUCACUAAAAGAAGCUCAGUUGGAUCCAGUGCCCCAGAACAAUGGCUGGUCAAG